GCCUGGCUAGCUCAGUUGGUAGAAUAUGAGACUCUUAAUCUCAUUGUUGUGGGUUCAAGCACCAUGUUGGGCA